CUUCAGGGAACCGAUCCACAGCGGGGUGUCGGCGUCCCGCUCGCGGCCGUACGUGGCCUGCAGUGCCUGCGCCUC
rnacentral:antisense_RNA from 1 species